CGCGUGACAAACCCCUGUGCUUAAUCUCAGAUCUGGGGCUCAGGUCGUUGGUCUCAGGAUGAAAGAGCACUCGAGGGCACAGCUGAGUAUAUAUGGGGUUUCACCAUGUUGGCCAGGCUGGUCUCGAACUUCUGAGCUCAAGAGAUCUGCCAAUCUCCGCCUCCCAAAGUGCUGGGAUUACCGGUGUGAGCCACCAUGCCCGGUCAAGGGAUUGUUUAUUAUUUGAUAUUUAAAAAAUUAUGUCAUGCAGUUUCCCAUACUUUAAAAAAAUUUUAAAGCCA